GUGACCCAGGAGGGAUUUCAGGGAGAAUGGACUGCUCCAGCUCCUGAGUUCACUGCUACUCAGCCUGGAGUCACAGACUGGUGUGAAGGCGUGCAGGCGCCCGCCCUCUGUGCUGAUUCAGCGGUUCCCCACAGAAGACUAGAGCGCCCAGCCGACCAAUGAGGACUGGUCAGCAGCUCCCACUGCUCAGGCCACUGAAAGGGUAGGAAGGACCACUAAGUGGUCUUAAGCUGCUCUUUCACAAAGGCAAACAAAAUGGAAAUAGGUUGAUGGAAAAGAAAAAAUUUCUAAAAAAAAGGACUACUUGGAAAACUGUUUUUCCUUCCAGAGUGAAUAAGACUGGAAUAAUUCAUGAAGCAAUAAGCCACGAACUAACAUCCAUUCCUUUGUCACCAGUGAUGGAAGAUACAGAGAAAACAUCGCUGAAGCUGAAGACUUUGAGAAACAGAUCACUUGCUCUGGGAGAGCUGGCUGCCACGUCCUGAGGAAUCUUCAGAAUCUCUAUGGAGAAGCCUACAUGGUGAGGGACAGAAGUCUUUGGCCGAUAGCCAGUGAGGACUGAGGCCUGCUGCCAACAGUGACAUGAGUGACCUUGGAAGAAACAUGCGAGGCAGCACUGCCAUUCUCCUCUUCCUGUUGCCCUGGUUGCAGGUGUUUUGCCAACGCUCUAGAAGCCAUCUUGUGACUGUUAGGAACCUUAAUGGAGCAGUGAAUGAGAGUUCCUCUUGCC